UUUCAAAGUUUGAAUGUAUUUGUCAUUACCUUUAGUUUACUAAUGCCAUAAUUCCUUGAUAAAUGAGAUUAAUGCAGAACUAAGAGGAGGACUGAACAAGGAGGAAAUCUGGCAAGAAAACCUAACUGGACAGAUAACCUUGCUGAGAAGUGUAUCAGGAAAAAGCACAGAAUGUACAAGUAAUGAAGGCAGAGUCAGCUGUGGGACAGUUACCUUGCCAAGACAGAAGCAUCAUUUGACCUACUCAUGCUGGGGGAAUUGUCAACUUGUAAAGUAAAAAAUUACUGUGCAGUCUAACAAUCUUCAGCACUUAGCAGGAGCUUGGGAUGGAGGUAAGAAUGAUAAUUCUGCAUACACUUGCCUAAUUUCUGCUCAGGUACCAUUUUCCAUAAAGGAACACUUACGUGAAAACCUAGUCGUUGAUCAGGAAUUCAGUGAUACUGGCAAACUGUCAGGUAGCAUAGAGACUUCUGAGUUACAUGUUUUAGAAAAGGCUGGCAGGCAGUGCCAGUAAUGCAAAUGUUAUUUAUUACAGUAUCAUUAGUUCAUGCUCUUUCAACGGUGUUUGGGAAAAGGCUAACUGCUAUUUUUACUUCUCUUUAAAUGCGAAAGGAAUUGAUUUCCUUUGUAAUAAAACAUGGAGAAUUUGUAGUAUUUGUAAAAAUAUUACCAUAUGAAAAGUUAGAAUAUUUACCUACCCUUGUAACUCUGAA